rnacentral:misc_RNA from 1 species
CAGAGUUGCAAAACUCCCAAACCAUUGUGAACGUUACCUAUCCCGUUGCUUCGGCGGGCGGCCCGGGCCCCGUGCCCGGCGCCCCCCGGCCCCUCGCGGGCGCCCGCCGGAGGUAUCUAACUCUUGAACUUUUAUGGCCUCUCUGAGUCUUUGUACUUAAUAAGUCA